GUGGGCCUACGGGGCGCAGCAGUGGGGAAUAUUGCACAAUGGGGGGAACCCUGAUGCAGCGACGCCGCGUGAGUGAAGAAGUAUUUCGGUACGUAAAGCUCUAUCAGCAGGGAAGAAAAAAGGACGGUACCUGAGUAAGAAGCCCCGGCUAACUACGUGCCAGCAGCCGCGGUAAUACGUAGGGGGCAAGCGUUAUCCGGAUUUACUGGGUGUAAAGGGAGCGUAGACGGCUGUACAAGUCUGAAGUGAAAGCCCGUGGCUCAACCGCGGAACUGCUUUGGAAACUGUAAAGCUGGAGUACUGGG
rnacentral:rRNA from 1 species